rnacentral:rRNA from 1 species
AGGGAUGGGCCUGCGGGCCAUUAGCUUGUUGGUGAGGUAACGGCUCACCAAGGCUGUGAUGGCUAGCUGGUCUGAGAGGAUGACCAGCCACACUGGGACUGAGACACGGCCCAGACUCCUACGGGAGGCAGCAGUGGGGAAUAUUGCGCAAUGGGCGAAAGCCUGACGCAGCGACGCCGCGUGGGUGAUGAAGGCCUUCGGGUACGUAAAGCCCUGUCGCAGGGGAAGAAUAAGCAUCGGUAUAAUACGCCGGUGCCCUGACGGUACCCUGCAAGAAAGCACCGGCUAACUCCGUG